rnacentral:rRNA from 1 species
GAAAUGCGAUAAGUAAUGUGAAUUGCAGAAUUCAGUGAAUCAUCGAAUCUUUGAACGCACCUUGCGCUCCUUGGUAUUCCGAGGAGCACGCCUGUUUGAGUGUCGUGAAAUUCUCAACCUACAAAGUUGUUGUUGCAACUUUGUUUGGCUUGGAUCUGGAGGCUUUGCUGGCUUGCUCUGAGUUCAGCUCCUCUUAAAUGCAUUAGCUUGGUUCCUUGUGGAUCAGCUCUCGGUGUGAUAAAUUGUCUAUGCCGUGACUGUGAAGCGUUUGGCGAGCUUAUAACCGUCUCAUUAGAAGAGACAGUCUUUCAUUUGACAUCUGACCUCAAAUCAGGUGGGACUACCCGCUGAACUUAA